GAGAAGCUUCAAGUAGGUCAGACGGUGUCAACGGUUUGCAAUCCAGGAUCCACCCCAGUGGGCUUAGGGGAGUAGAGCAGCAGGAGCACUUGGAAAGAUGUAUACUCCAUUUAGGCAAAAAUAAUUCCCAGGGAAUAGUCAUUGUCACAAGCAAUAAUUUUAUACUGUAACCACAAGAGAAAGAAAACUGUAGGGACUUCUCUGGUGGUGCAGUGGUUAAGAAUCCGCCUGCCAAUGCAGGGGACACAGGUUCCAUCCCUGGUCCGGGAAGAUCCCACAUGCUGAGGAGCAACUAAGCCCAUGCGCCACAACUACUGAAGCCCACGCACCUAGAGCCUGUUCUCCGCAACAAGAGAAGCCACCGCAAUGAGAAGCCUGCGCACCGCAACCAAGAGUAGCCCCCGCUCGCCACAACUAGAGAAAGCCCAUAUGCAGCAACGAAGACCCAACGCAGCCAAAAAUAAAUAAUAAUUUGAAAAAAAAAGAAAACUGGGUGUUUCAUAAACUAAGCUGAUCAAAUCAAUCUUUGGCUAGCUAUUCAAGUUACUCAUUUCUUUGCUUUUAGCUGUUUUAUUUCUUAUGUUACAUACUAUAAUUUCCUCUUGCAGUGUUUAAAUUCUCUUUUGACUGAUUGUAGAGGAAAGAGUAUAUUUUCCAGUCAUGCUUCAGCCCAUCAUAGGUAAGAAAUCAGUUCACUUCAGAGAUCAGGUGUGGUGGCAAUGAAAGCAGACUAGCACAAGUUUAUGGACAGGGAGAUAGAGUGAAAAGAGUAAGAUUCAGCUAUAAACCUUCUUACUUAGAUUAUACCUUAAAUCAAGUUUUCUCAGUGCUCUUUGUCCCACCCUAAAUACCAGUAUAGUACCAAAUAGCUGUUUGGUCCUUGAUGACUAACCCAAUGGAUCAAAUUUGUAAAAAAUAUACCACCACGUUUUAUAUACUUUGUAGUUGUAAAUAGAAAUUUCUAAGAUAAUCAGUUUCCCACAGUUUCAGGAGUCUGGGUUUUGUUUUUAUUACAAUAUAGGAAAAACAGUAAGCAACAGACUUUUAUUGCUAAUAAUACAUGGUAAAAAUGGAAAUGUGUCAAUACUUUGCUUAUUUCAUUGAAUCAACACAUUUGUUUCACAAUAUGCUUUGCUAUGACUACUUUCAAAGAAAGUACAUCUGAGGUUAGACUGCUGGGAAUUUUAAAUAACACACUAGUAUGACGGUAUCUUACCAUGGGUAGAAAGUGCCAAACAUCAUACUAUUAUUCCUGUGUAUCAAACAGAAACUUUCUUUCCCCUUAUUCCCUACCCAGUAUUAGCAUUGUGGAACCUAGCAGACUACAAGGCCUAGGGGUGAUUGUUCUGAUACAUAGGACCCUAACAAGGUUCUGUUUAGGAAUAAUAUUGUUCAUUUUUUCAGAGUGGUUAUGUAAGGAAAAAUUAC